AGCAGCCGCGGUAAUUCCAGCUCCAAUAGCGUAUAUUAAAGUUGUUGCAGUUAAAAAGCUCGUAGUUGAAUUUCGGGGUUAGCAGGUCGGUCGUGCCAUCGGUAUGAACUGGUCUCGCUGAUCCCUCCCUCUUGACGAACUGUGAUGCCAUUAAUUUGGUGUCGCAGGGAAUCAGGACUGUUACUUUAGAAAAAUUAGAGUGUUUAAAGCAGGCUCACGCUUGAAUACAUUAGCAUGGAAUAAUGAAAUAGGACGUUUGAAUCCUAUUUUGUUGGCUUCUAGGAUUGACGUAAUGAUUAAUAGGGAUAGUUGGGGGCAUUAGUAUUCAAUUGUCAGAGGUGAAAUUCUUGGAUUUAUUGAAGACUAACUACUGCGAAAGCAUUUGCCAAGGAUGUUUUCAUUAAUCAAGAACGAAAGUUAGGGGAUCGAAGACGAUCAGAUACCGUCGUA
rnacentral:rRNA from 1 species